AUAGAAGACAGCGCGCUAGCGGAUCUAGUCUAUUUAUGUCUAUGGUCGGCACGUCUGGUAGCAUCUCUGGCUGCUGUUGACCUUGUUUUUGGAGUAAAACACGGUGGAAGCUGAAUUAGUGAGGAUGACUCCUGCUCCUGUCAUCUCUAAGCUCCUCACAUCUUUACCUGCACAUGAGGAAAAUCACUCCUGUAGAAUGCAGUGGUUCAUCAGAACCUCUGGGGAUGUCCUGUGGAUUCUGUGGAUCCUGUGGGUUGCAGGGUGGGUCCUACCUAGACCAGGCUGAUCCUGGACCAUCCCACAGAUGCUCCAUCAGAUGUGGAUGUGGGGAGUGUGGAACCCAGAUGUUCAGAGGGAGAUGAUGCCACAUCUGGUCCAGCUGAUGGAAGGUCUUGAAGUUCUCUGACUGGCCUCGACUGAAGAUGGUCGUCUCACUGGAUUUAAGCUGCACAAUGAGGGACGUCUGCAGAGACUGAGAAAGAGUCUCACCACAUCCUGACAUGAGGAAAAAGACUUUUUUGAAGACUACAAUGAGAAAAAACUAUCAGACAGCAGACAGCUGCAUUCAAGGUGAGCUCUGAACAUUUGAUCUGGAACAGGAAUUCAAUAACGGCAGCAUGAGCUUCAUUUCAGUCUGUAGCUGCUGAAUUCAUGGAUGAAUCAUCUGGCACUAGAGAGGAAGACCAUCAAACAUCCAUGUCAGCUGAUGGAGGUCCAAGAGUGAAGACCUCAAAUCUGAUUGGACGGCCUCCUAUUCAGUCACGUGUGAACAAAUGCCUUCAAGUUGAUUUGUUUUCUAAAAUAAAUCUAGUUUGAGUCCUAAUCUAUGCCUGUGUGUUUGCUUCUUUACACCGCUGUUAACAGUUUAGGCUGUUAGAUUGUUCCAGAUAAGACAAGUACAAGAUUCUUCAGAGCCGUUCUACCACGAGCCUGACAGGAAGAACAGCUACUGAAUGUUCCUGUGGUUCCCUCAAGGCUACAGGAGGAGUCCUACGAGGACGAGCCGGUCCACCUGAUGGCGGCCAGUCGCUGUGGUUCAAAGCCAACACCGACUACGUGGACUUCUACUGGACCACAUGGAGGCCUUCAAAAUGGACCAACAAGUUCAGCAACUCCCCGACUCGUGGGUCUGAGGACGCCGCCGAGCCUCGGUCCAGCCGGCCUCCUGUCUGUGGGUGUUUGAGUGCUGAGAGGUUUAUGGAUGCAUGUGAACGUUCUGUGUUGAAACAGCAGCUUUGGACUCAGUAACGCCGGGAAAAACCAAGAGCUCCUUUAUUUGUGACUUCCACUAAAAAAAACUGAUGAAAAUAAGUUUGCCAGGGUUCUGACUGAUAACAGAUUAUUAAAUAAUGAAAAUAAUCGUUUAAAUAUUCCUUUAAACAAUCCUUUUAGGUCUACAUUUCCUUUACACUGACUUCUUGGUAUAUGUACAAGUAUUUUGGGUGGAAUAUACCAUUAAGCCCGAUGUUCAAGGGUUCUUCUGGGAAUAUACCAUUAAACCAACCUUUUAGGUAAAUGUUCCAGGAUGUUGGGUAGAAUAUACCAUCAGAUCAACCUUUUAGGUCUACAUUGGAAGAUUUUAGAGUAGAAUAUUACUCCAAACCAUCCUUUAGGUCUAAAUUUAUGGUGGAAUACUCCUUUACACCAAGAUUUUUU